GUAGGGUGCGAGCGUUAAUCGGAAUUACUGGGCGUAAAGCGUGCGCAGGCGGUUAUGUAAGACAGAUGUGAAAUCCCCGGGCUCAACCUGGGAACUGCAUUAGUGACUGCAUAGCUGGAGUACGGCAGAGGGGGAUGGAAUUCCGCGUGUAGCAGUGAAAUGCGUAGAUAUGCGGAGGAACACCGAUGGCGAAGGCAAUCCCCUGGGUCUGUACUGACGCUCAUGCACGAAAGCGUGGGGAGCAAACAGGAUUAGAUACCCUGGUAGUCCCACGCCCCUAAACGAUGUCAACUGGUUGUUGGGUCUUCACUGACUCAGUAACGAAGCUAACGCGUGAAGUUGACCGCCUGGGGAGUACGGCCGCAAGGUUG
rnacentral:rRNA from 1 species